rnacentral:rRNA from 1 species
UACAGAGGUCUCAACCGUUGUUCGGAUUCAUUGGGCGUAAAGGGUGCGUAGGCGGUCGCGCAAGUCGGAUGUGAAAUCUUAGGGCUCAACCCUGAAACUGCAUUCGAUACUGCGUGGCUCGAGUACUGGAGAGGAGACUGGAAUUUACGGUGUAGCAGUGAAGUGCGUAGAUAUCGUAAGGAAGACCAGUGGCGAAGGCGAGUCUCUGGACAGUUACUGACGCUGAGGCACGAAGGCCAGGGGAGCAAACGGG